UUAAGCGACUAAGCGUACACGGUGGAUGCCCUGGCAGUCAGAGGCGAUGAAGGACGUGCUAAUCUGCGAUAAGCGCCGGUAAGGUGAUAUGAACCGUUAUAACCGGCGAUUUCCGAAUGGGGAAACCCAGUGUGAUUCGUCACACUAUCAUUAACUGAAUCCAUAGGUUAAUGAGGCGAACCGGGGGAACUGAAACAUCUAAGUACCCCGAGGAAAAGAAAUCAACCGAGAUUCCCCCAGUAGCGGCGAGCGAACGGGGAGGAGCCCAGAGCCUGAAUCAGCAUGUGUGUUAGUGGAAGCGUCUGGAAAGGUGCGCGAUACAGGGUGACAGCCCCGUACACAAAAGCGCAUGUGCUGUGAGCUCGAUGAGUAGGGCGGGACACGUGGUAUCCUGUCUGAAUAUGGGGGGACCAUCCUCCAAGGCUAAAUACUCCUGACUGACCGAUAGUGAACCAGUACCGUGAGGGAAAGGCGAAAAGAACCCCGGCGAGGGGAGUGAAAAAGAACCUGAAACCGUGUACGUACAAGCAGUGGGAGCACCCUUCGGGGUGUGACUGCGUACCUUUUGUAUAAUGGGUCAGCGACUUAUAUUCUGUAGCAAGGUUAACCGUAUAGGGGAGCCGUAGGGAAACCGAGUCUUAACCGGGCGUUAAGUUGCAGGGUAUAGACCCGAAACCCGGUGAUCUAGCCAUGGGCAGGUUGAAGGUUGGGUAACACUAACUGGAGGACCGAACCGACUAAUGUUGAAAAAUUAGCGGAUGACCUGUGGCUGGGGGUGAAAGGCCAAUCAAACCGGGAGAUAGCUGGUUCUCCCCGAAAGCUAUUUAGGUAGCGCCUCGUGAAUUCAUCUCCGGGGGUAGAGCACUGUUUCGGCUAGGGGGCCAUCCCGGCUUACCAACCCGAUGCAAACUGCGAAUACCGGAGAAUGUUAUCACGGGAGACACACGGCGGGUGCUAACGUCCGUCGUGAAGAGGGAAACAACCCAGACCGCCAGCUAAGGUCCCAAAGUCAUGGUUAAGUGGGAAACGAUGUGGGAAGGCCCAGACAGCCAGGAUGUUGGCUUAGAAGCAGCCAUCAUUUAAAGAAAGCGUAAUAGCUCACUGGUCGAGUCGGCCUGCGCGGAAGAUGUAACGGGGCUAAACCAUGCACCGAAGCUGCGGCAGCGAACGUAUCACUUAAAGCGAUUCAGCGGGUUACGAUUGACGGAGCGAAGCGACGUCAAAGCGUAUACAAAGUCGAGUCGGUUUAAGGAUACGUUCGUUGGGUAGGGGAGCGUUCUGUAAGCCCGUGAAGGUGGCCUGUGAGGGUUGCUGGAGGUAUCAGAAGUGCGAAUGCUGACAUAAGUAACGAUAAAGCGGGUGAAAAGCCCGCUCGCCGGAAGACCAAGGGUUCCUGUCCAACGUUAAUCGGGGCAGGGUGAGUCGACCCCUAAGGCGAGGCCGAAAGGCGUAGUCGAUGGGAAACGGGUUAAUAUUCCCGUACUUGGUGUUACUGCGAAGGGGGGACGGAGAAGGCUAUGUUGGCCGGGCGACGGUUGUCCCGGUUUAAGCGUGUAGGUGUGUGUUCCAGGUAAAUCCGGUUCACUUUAACACUGAGGCGUGACGACGAGGCACUACGGUGCUGAAGCAACAAAUGCCCUGCUUCCAGGAAAAGCCUCUAAGCAUCAGGUAACAUCAAAUCGUACCCCAAACCGACACAGGUGGUCAGGUAGAGAAUACCAAGGCGCUUGAGAGAACUCGGGUGAAGGAACUAGGCAAAAUGGUGCCGUAACUUCGGGAGAAGGCACGCUGACACGUAGGUGAAGUGAUUUACUCAUGGAGCUGAAGUCAGUCGAAGAUACCAGCUGGCUGCAACUGUUUAUUAAAAACACAGCACUGUGCAAACACGAAAGUGGACGUAUACGGUGUGACGCCUGCCCGGUGCCGGAAGGUUAAUUGAUGGGGUCAGCGCAAGCGAAGCUCCUGAUCGAAGCCCCGGUAAACGGCGGCCGUAACUAUAACGGUCCUAAGGUAGCGAAAUUCCUUGUCGGGUAAGUUCCGACCUGCACGAAUGGCGUAAUGAUGGCCAGGCUGUCUCCACCCGAGACUCAGUGAAAUUGAACUCGCUGUGAAGAUGCAGUGUACCCGCGGCAAGACGGAAAGACCCCGUGAACCUUUACUAUAGCUUGACACUGAACAUUGAGCCUUGAUGUGUAGGAUAGGUGGGAGGCUUUGAAGUGUGGACGCCAGUCUGCAUGGAGCCGACCUUGAAAUACCACCCUUUAAUGUUUGAUGUUCUAACGUGGACCCGUAAUCCGGGUUGCGGACAGUGUCUGGUGGGUAGUUUGACUGGGGCGGUCUCCUCCUAAAGAGUAACGGAGGAGCACGAAGGUUGGCUAAUCCUGGUCGGACAUCAGGAGGUUAGUGCAAUGGCAUAAGCCAGCUUGACUGCGAGCGUGACGGCGCGAGCAGGUGCGAAAGCAGGUCAUAGUGAUCCGGUGGUUCUGAAUGGAAGGGCCAUCGCUCAACGGAUAAAAGGUACUCCGGGGAUAACAGGCUGAUACCGCCCAAGAGUUCAUAUCGACGGCGGUGUUUGGCACCUCGAUGUCGGCUCAUCACAUCCUGGGGCUGAAGUAGGUCCCAAGGGUAUGGCUGUUCGCCAUUUAAAGUGGUACGCGAGCUGGGUUUAGAACGUCGUGAGACAGUUCGGUCCCUAUCUGCCGUGGGCGCUGGAGAACUGAGGGGGGCUGCUCCUAGUACGAGAGGACCGGAGUGGACGCAUCACUGGUGUUCGGGUUGUCAUGCCAAUGGCACUGCCCGGUAGCUAAAUGCGGAAGAGAUAAGUGCUGAAAGCAUCUAAGCACGAAACUUGCCCCGAGAUGAGUUCUCCCUGAGACUUAGAGUCUCCUGAAGGAACGUUGAAGACGACGACGUUGAUAGGCCGGGUGUGUAAGCGCAGCGAUGCGUUGAGCUAACCGGUACUAAUGAACCGUGAGGCUUAACCU
rnacentral:rRNA from 1 species